rnacentral:rRNA from 1 species
GGCUAAAUACUCCUGAGAGACCGAUAGUGAACAAGUACCGUGAGGGAAAGGUGAAAAGUACUUCGAACAGAAGAGUGAAAUAGAACCUGAACCCGUGCGCUUACAAGCGGUCGGAGGCCAACUUAGCAGCUUGCUGCUAAUAGUAGCUGACGGCGUGCCUUUUGCAUAAUGAGCCUACGAGUUACUCCUCGCUAGCAAGGUUAAUUCUGAUGACGGAAGAAGCCGAAGCGAAAGCAAGUCUGAACAGGGCGUUCAGUUAGCGGGGGUAGACGCGAAACUUUGUGAUCUACCCAUGGUCAGGUUGAAGUUCCGGUAACACGGGAUGGAGGACCGAACCAGUACACGUUGAAAAGUGUUUGGAUGAACUGUGGGUAGGGGUGAAAGGCUAAUCAAACUGAGAGAUAGCUCGUACUCCCCGAAAUGCAUUUAGGUGCAGCCUCGAGUGGAGUGUCAUAGAGGUAGAGCUACUGAUAGGGCUAGGGGGCUUCACCGCCUACCAAACCCUGACAAACUCCGAAUGCUAUGACAUGUUCCUCGGGAGUGAGGCGUUGGGUGCUAAGGUCCGGCGCCGAGAGGGAAAGAACCCAGACUAUCAGCUAAGGUCCCCAAAUAUAUACUAAGUUGAUCAAACGAGGUCUGAUUGCUUUGACAGCUAGGAUGUUGGCUUGGAAGCAGCCAUUCAUUUAAAGAGUGCGUAACAGCUCACUAGUCGAGCGAUCAGGCAUGGAUAAUAAUCGGGCAUUAAGUAUAUUACCGAAGCUAUAGAUUGGUCCGCCUCUGGCGGAUCACUGGUAGGGGAGCAUUCCAGUCUGCGUUGAAGGUGUGUCGUAAGGCAUGCUGGAGCGUCUGGAAAAGCAAAUGUAGGCAUAAGUAACGAUAAUGCGGGCGAGAAACCCGCACACCGAAAGACUAAGGUUUCCUCAGCGAUGCUAAUCAGCUGAGGGUUAGUCGGGUCCUAAGGCGAAUCCGAAAGGAGUAGUCGAUGGAUAACUGGUUAAUAUUCCAGUACUUCUCAUAAUUGCGAUGGAGGGACGGAGUAAUGAACUCACCGCGUACUGACGGAAUAGUACGUUGAACCGUGUAGGUA